UCGAAUUUACAAGACAGAUUUUUAUUUUAGAAUUCGAUUUAACAUAUAGAUUACAAGAUGAUAAACAAAUAAAAUUAUUGAAGUUGGGCUUAGACUGAUAGAAGUAGGCCCAGCCCAGGACUGGAUUUGAACCGGCCCACUUAGUUGAUUAUCUCUUCUCCCUAGGGGUGAGCAGAAACCGAAUCGACAGUCAAAAUCGAACCGAACCGAACCGUAUUGGUGCGGUUCGGUUCCAGUUCUAUUGGUGGUCGGUUCGGUUCCAGAAUUCAAAAACCAAAAAAUUUCGGUUCGGUGUCGGUGCUGAAGUUUUGGUUCGAUUUUGCACCGAACCGAAUAAUAUUAAUAUUUUAUUAAAUAUUUAUAUUUUAUAAAUAUAAUUAAUUCUAGUUUAACCUAAACUAAGAGAGAAAGCAAGAAACCCUAUCUCCCAUUCUAGUUUCUACACUCUGCGCCGCUCUCAGCCUCCCACUCUCCUGCGUCUCCUCCAAAUCCGUGGGCGAGGACGAGGAUCUUCUCGCCGGAGUAUUAAUCUUCUCCAUUCCAUUCAUCUUCUGCGCCGCUCCCAUCAGAUAUUCAGAUUUGCGCCGCUGAGCCGCUCUGCCACUUCUUCGAAUCUUCAGACUUUCACUCCCAAGGCCAAACCGCAGACUUGAGACUUUCACUUCUUCAGAUUUGCGCCGCUCUGCCCUCCGGAACCGCGCGGCGCUGCUCUCCGGCUGGACCGGCUCUGCCCACGCCAGUCAGCCCAGGCUCCGCUCUGCCCUUCGGAACCGCGCUGCUCUCCCAGCCCAGGCGCGAGUCGCGGCGCUGCCCGGUGGAGGGAUCAGCUGCGCAAGCCAGUCUCUUCAGUUGCCAGAUCGCUGCUUCCCGCACGGCGUCGUUUGAAGCUCGAUCCCUCUAAUAAGCUUUAUUUUCCCUGUAUGGACCUCGCUCUCGCUAAUUUGCUUGAUUGUUUGGUUUUCUGUUUUUGCUUUUGUUUGGACAAUUGGCGAUUGUGUUUGAUUGUUACGUUUUUCUUGCUCAAUUGAUUGAUUGAUGGCAAUUUUUAUGUAUGAGUUUGCCUUUUCUUUUCUAAUUUGAUUGAGCUUGAUCUGCGACUUGUGGUUUGGAAUUUCUGCUCGAAAAAAAAUAUAUAUAUAUAUUUGUAAACCGAUGGUUUUAUUGGUUCGGUUCCGGACCCCCAAUUGGUACGGUUCGAUUUCAAAUUUAACUAUCGGUUUGAUUUUCGGUUUUAGGUUUUUGGUUUGGUUUUGCACCAAACCGAACCGAUGCUCACCCCUACUUCUCCCUCUCUCCUAAACGCCAUUUCCUGUGCACAGCUCACAAUCCCCUCGUUCACGCGCAGGGCUCACAGUUGCUCUUCAUAAUGGUAAGAUACUCAUUCAAUACUUGUCGCCGUCAAUCUCUAUUUGUUACUCAUCAUUAUCCUCGCGUGUAUUUUUGGGUUGAUUGGAUUGGAUGAUAAAAGUCGAGCUCAACCACAACUUUCUGCUCUUUCACAACAUUGUCUUCGCCAUCAAUCUUUAUUUAUGCGCAAUGUGGUUGAUUGUUUAUAUUUUCUGAGAUGUUUUUGAAUUGCCUAUAGCAAUACUGUUGUGGUGAUGUAAUUUUUUUAAUAAAAGCACAAUUGAAAGACUAAAACUACAACUAGAAAAGAAAGAGAUUUAGCUUUCCGUCGUAUGUUAGUCAUAUGCUUUUCUUCAGCAUUGAUAUUUAUCCAUCAACGGAAAUUGAUAAUUGAUUCUGCUGGUAGAAAGAGUUAAAUAAAGUUGAUGAAUUUGAGCACAUCGAUGUUUCUAGUUCGGAGCUUUCUAGAAUUACCUCGCUUUCUGAUUAGCCUUCUCCAUUUGUUUCUGCAUCAGAACAGAGCCUCUGAUUAUGCUGAAUCCAACCAAAUACCAGACAACUUUCAAUAAAUUACAUUUAUACGAAAAGAUUCGAGCUUUAGCCCCGUCUUAUUCAAUUUGUGGAUGGAGUAAUUUUACCUCAAUUUCAAAUCAGUAUCAUGAUUCAGAAACUCCACAAGGUUUGGAGCAGAAUGUUGCAGAUAGAAAUGUUGCANNNNN
rnacentral:lncRNA from 1 species